rnacentral:rRNA from 1 species
ACACGUGUUACAAUGGGGGGUACGAGAGGGACCGCUACCACGCGAGUGGAUGCCAAUCCCUAAAACCCCUCUCAGUUCGGACUGGAGUCUGCAACCCGACUCCACGAAGCUGGAUUCGCUAGUAAUCGCGCAUCAGCCACGGCGCGGUGAAUACGUUCCCGGGCCUUGUACACACCGCCCGUCAAGCCAUGGGAGCCGGGGGUACCUGAAGUGCGUAACCGCGAGGAUCGCCCUAGGGUAAAACUGGUGACUGGGGCUAAGUCGUAACAAGGUACC